AGGACUGUAGCUCAGUGGUAGAGCCAUCAGCAUUGCACGCAGAAGGUCCCAGGUUCAGUCUUCAGGGAGAGAUUCCUGCCUGAAACCCUG